AUUGAACGCUGGCGGCAGGCCUAACACAUGCAAGUCGAGCGGUAACAUUUCUAGCUUGCUAGAAGAUGACGAGCGGCGGACGGGUGAGUAAUGCUUGGGAACAUGCCUUGAGGUGGGGACGAACAGUUGGAACGACUGCUAAUACCGCAUAAUGUCUACGGACCAAAGGGGGACGUUCGGCUCUCGCCUUUAGUAUUGGCCCGAACGUGGAAUUAGCUAGUUGGUGAGGUAAUGGCUCACCAAGGCGACGAUCCCUACGCUGGUUUGAGAGGAUGAUCAGCCACACUGGGACUGAGACACGGCCCAGACUCCUACGGGAGGCAGCAGUGGGGAAUAUUGCACAAUGGGCGCAAGCCUGAUGCAGCCAUGCCGCGUGUGUGAAGAAGGCCUUCGGUU
rnacentral:rRNA from 1 species